AACGAACGCUGGCGGCAUGCCUAACACAUGCAAGUCGAACGAGACCUUCGGGUCUAGUGGCGCACGGGUGCGUAACGCGUGGGAACCUGCCUUUAGGUUCGGAAUAACUCAGAGAAAUUUGAGCUAAUACCGGAUGAUGUCUUCGGACCAAAGAUUUAUCGCCGUUAGAUGGGCCCGCGUUGGUUUAGCUAGUUGGUGGGGUAAAGGCCUACCAAGGCGACGAUCCAUAGCUGGGCUGAGAGGAUGAUCAGCCACACUGGGACUGAGACACGGCCCAGACUCCUACGGGAGGCAGCAGUGGGGAAUAUUGGACAAUGGGCGAAAGCAUGAUCCAGCUAUGCCGCGUGAGUGAUGAAGGUCGUAGGGUUGUAAAGCUCUUUUACCCGAGAUGAUAAUGACAGUAUCGGGAGAAUAAGCUCCGGCUAACUCCGUG
rnacentral:rRNA from 1 species